rnacentral:rRNA from 1 species
AGAAUCAACGCUGGCGGCGUGCCUAACACAUGCAAGUCGAACGAGAAAGGGGAGCAAUCCCUGAGUAAAGUGGCGACCGGGUGAGUAACACGUGACUAACCUACCCUCGAGUGUGGAAUAACAUCGGGAAACCGAUGCUAAUACCGCAUAACAUCGGCGCUUUUAAGAGAUGCCGAUCAAAGGAGCAAUCCGCUUGAGGAGGGGUCGCGGCUGAUUAGCUAGUUGGCGGGGUAACGGCCCACCAAGGCGAAGAUCGGUAGCCGGCCUGAGACGGGGCGUCGACGACGACGACCUAGGAACGUGAACACGGUCCAGACUCCUACGGAGGCAGCAGUGGGGAAUUUUGCGCAAUGGGGGAAACCCUGACGCAGCAACGCCGCGUGGAGGAUGAAGCCCCUUGGGGCGUAAACUCCUUUCGACCAAGACGAUAAUGACGGUACUGGUGGAAGAAGCACCGGCUAACGUCUGUGCCAGCAGCCGC